AGAUUGAACGCUGGCGGCAGGCCUAACACAUGCAAGUCGAGCGGUAGAGAGAAGCUUGCUUCUCUUGAGAGCGGCGGACGGGUGAGUAAUGCCUAGGAAUCUGCCUAGUGGUGGGGGAUAACGUUCGGAAGCGGACGCUAAUACCGCAUACGUCCUACGGGAGAAAGCGGGGGACCUUCGGGCCUCGCGCCAUUAGAUGAGCCUAGGUCGGAUUAGCUAGUUGGUGAGGUAAAGGCUCACCAAGGCGACGAUCCGUAACUGGUCUGAGAGGAUGAUCAGUCACACUGGAACUGAGACACGGUCCAGACUCCUACGGGAGGCAGCAGUGGGGAAUAUUGGACAAUGGGGGAAACCCUGAUCCAGCCAUGCCGCGUGUGUGAAGAAGGUCUUCGGAUUGUAAAGCACUUUAAGUGGAGAAGGGCAGUAACUUAAUACGUUGCUGUUUGACGUUACGACAGAAUAAGCACCGGCUAACUCUGUGCCAGCAGCCG
rnacentral:rRNA from 1 species